ACAAGGACAAAUUGAGAGUACCAUGAAUUUGUUUAUGGCAAGGUAGAAACAGCUGAAGAGAGGAUUAAUAAACUGGAAGAUAGAUAGGCCAGAGGAAAAUAUCCAGAUGGAAGCAAGCAGAGACAAAAGAUGGAAAAGACAAAAGAGAGGGUAUAAGAUAUGGAGGAGACAGUGAAAGGACUAGCAUUUCAGAGGGAGAGGAGAGAAGGAAUGGACAGAAGCAAUAUUUGAAGAGACAGCAGCCAAGAAGGUAAUUUAUUUCUUUUCUUUAUUUUAUAGGAAAUGGAGCUCCCAGUUCUUUACAGGAUUUUUUCCUGGGAAGCUGAAGUGCUUUAAAAAAUACUCAAUCAUCACUAUCAGCUUUUCCCAAAAUUCAAUAGGAGCUUUGAUCUACGCUCACGUUUGUGGUAGACACACUCGAGAAGUGGCCCCCGUGACUCCCUUCCCCAGUCCUGGAGUUCACACCCUCGAGUGUGGGAAGACCUGGGACUUCUUCUAACCAACCGACCACCACACAGAUGGCCAGAUGUGCAAGGUUACAGCCACAUAAGACUUUAGCAUCAGUUUGGCUGGAGUCUCGCUCUCUCUGCCUUGCUGGCUUUGAGGACGCAAGUGAUCCUCUUGGAUAACCCCGUGUGGCAGGAACUGGAGGGUGCCUCUGGGGCAGAAGGGGGGCCCGGCUAACAGCCAGUGAGAAACUGAAGUCUUCAGUCAAAUGCUUGCAAGAAACUGAAUUCUUCCCACAACCGGGGUAGGCUUGGAAAUGAUCCUCCUGCAGGCAAACCUCAGAUGAGAACACAGCCCGUCCGACACCCAGAUUCCUGCCUGGCUGAGACUCUAAACAGAGAAUCCAUCUAAGCUGUCCCUGGACUCUAUUUCUUAUUGACACAUGAAAAAGCUCAUGGGAGACUGUGUUUCUAAAAUUGGAACAGAAUAACCAUACCAAGUACUGGCAAGGAUGUGGAUCAAGGGCAACGAUCAAGGGCAACGCUCACACACCGCUUGGGGAGACGCAAAAGUGUACAGCCCCUCUGGGAAACAGGGCUACCGUUUCUUAAAGGUUAAACAUUAAAGCAACAGUGAGAUACCCCUCUACUCUUAUUAAAAUGGCCCAAAUCUGAGACAAUGACAGCAUCACAGCUGGCAAGGGUGUGGAGCAACAGGAACUCUCGUUCGCUGGUGGUGGGAAUGCAAAAUGUGCAGCUACUUUGGAAGACAGUUUUUGGUGUUUUUUACAAACUUAACAUAAUCUUAACAUAGGAUCCGGCACCCACGGUAUUUACCUUGGUAUUUACCCAAAUGAGCUGAAAAUGUGUCCACACAAAAACCUGCACACAAAUGUUUAGAGCAGAUUUAUUCAUAAUUGCUCAAACUUGGGAGCAACCAACGCACCC
rnacentral:lncRNA from 1 species